rnacentral:misc_RNA from 1 species
ACUAGCCUUGCUCAGUCAAAUGAACAAAUUUGCAGCAGAAAAGAUCCCUUGGUUUUGAAAAAUAAAGCACCAAGAUGGCAUGAGCAGCUGCAGUGCUGGUGUCUAAAUUUCAAAGGACGCGUCACUGUGGCCUCUGUUAAGAAUUUCCAGCUGGUGGCAGCUGUGGAGCUUGGCCAAAAUGUGCCAGCGGAAGAACAGGAAAAAGUUAUUCUACAAUUUGGAAAGAUUGGGAAGGACAUCUUCACCAUGGACUAUCGCUACCCACUGUCUGCAUUCCAAGCCUUUGCUAUCUGCUUGAGUAGCUUUGACACUAAACCAGCUUGUGAAUGACUACAAAUUCACGACCAUCUCGGGCCAAAUUCCCAUUAGUCUUCCCUUGAAAUUUUGUUGUAUAUAUUUUCUUUAAAGG